UGCAUUAAAACGCUAUAAAUGAGUAUGAAAGUCAAUUAAUUACUUUAUCUUGGAUUUGCACCAAAUUUUUGGCUCCUAAGGCCACUGGAUUACUAUUAU